CCUACGGGUGGCAGCAGUGAGGAAUAUUGGUCAAUGGGCGCAAGCCUGAUCCAGCCAAGUCGCGUGAAGGAUGACGGCCCUCCGGGUUGUAAGCUUCUUUUGUCAGGGGGAAAGUGAGUCCACGUGUGGGCUUAGCGAGAGUCCCUGAAGAAAAAGCAUCGGCUAACUCAGUGCCAGCAGCCGCGGUAAUACGUAGGAUGCGAGCGUUAUCCGGAUUUAUUGGGUUAAAAGGGUGCGUAGGCGGAAUAUCAAGUCAGCGGUAAAAAUUCGGGGCUCAACCCCGUCGUGCCGUUGAAACUGAUGUUCUUGAGUGGGCGAGAAGUAUGCGGAAUGCGUGGUGUAGCGGUGAAAUGCAUAGAUAUCACGCAGAACUCCGAUUGCGAAGGCAGCAUACCGGCGCUCAACUGACGCUCAUGCACGAAAGUGUGGGUAUCGAACAGGAUUAGAUACCCCGGUAGUC
rnacentral:rRNA from 1 species